CUUUCUUCCCCACUAGACUUUAAAUACCAUGAUGGCAGUGAGUAUCAGCUUCCCGCUGUUGAGUCUUCCAUGGAUUUCCAACCAAAAAUUGACUACUCCUAAACCACAGAAAAAAACAACACGAUAUGGGCACACCUUGGAGAUGUGGCAGAUUCCAGAACACCACAAUAAAGCAAAUGUCACAAUAAAGUGAGUCACACAAAGUUUUGGUUUUCCAGUACAUUUAAAAGUUAUGUUUAUACUAUAGUGUAGUCUGUUAAGUGUGCAAUAGAAUUAUGUCUAGAAAAAUGUAUAUACCUUAAUUAAAAAAUUCCUUAUUUCUAAAAAAUGUUGACCAUCAUCUAAGCCUUCAGCGAGUCAUCAUCUUUUUGCUGGUGGAGGGUCUUGCCUUGAGGUUGAUGGCUGCUGACUGACAGACUGGUGGUUGCUGAAGGUUGGGGUGGCCAUGGCAAUUUUUUAAAAGAAGACAACAAUGAAGUUUGCCACAUCAGUUGAUGCUUCCUUUCAUGAACAAUUUCUCUGUAGCAUGCAAUGCUGUUUGAUGGCCUUUUACCUACAGUAGAACUUCUUUCCAAAUUAGAGUCAGUCCUCUUAGAUCCUGCUGCUGGGUCAUCAACUAAGUUUGUGUCAUAUUCUAAAUCCUUUGUUGUCAUUUCAGCAAUGUUCACAGCAUCUUCACCAGGAGCAGUUUCCAUUUCAAGAAACCACUUUCUUAGUUCAUCCAGAAGAAGCAACUCCUCAUCUGUUAAAGUUUUAUCAUGAGAUUGUGGCAAUUCAGUCCCAUCUUCAGGCUCUACUUCUAAUUCUAGUGCUCUUGCUAUAUCUGCCACAUCUGCUGUUGCUUCCUCCACUGAGGUCUUGAACCCCUCAAAGUCAUCCAUGAAGGUUGGAAUCAACUUCUUCCAAACUCCUGUUAGGGUUGAUAUUUGUGACCUCUUCCCACGAAUCAUGAGUGUUCUUAACGGCAUCUAGAAUGAAAACCUUUCCAGAAGGUUUUCAAUUUACUUUGCCCAGAUGCCUCUGAGGAAUCACUAUCUAUGGCAGCUAUAGCCUUAUGAAAUAUAUUUCUUAAAUAAUAAGACUUGAAAGUUGAAAUUUCUCCUUAAUCCAUGGGCUGUAGAAUGGAUGUUGUGUUAGCAGGCAUGAAAACAAUAUCAGUCUUGUGUACAUCUCCAUCAGAGCCCUUGGGUGAGCAGGUACACUGUCAACGAACAGUAAUGUUCUGAAAGGAAUCUUUUUUCUGAGCUGUAGUCUCAAAGGUGGGCUUAAAAUAUUCAGUAAACCAUGUUGUAAACAGAUGUGCUGUCGUCCUGGCUUUGUUGUGCCAUUUAUAGAGCACAGGCAGAGUAAAUUUAGCAUAAUUCUUAAGGGCCCUAGGAGUUUUGAAUUGGUAAAUGAGCAUUGGCUUCAACUUCAAGUCACCAGCUGCAUUAGUCCCUAACAAGAGAGUUGGCCUGUCCUUUGAAGCUUUGAGGCCAGGCAUUGACUUCUCCUCUCUAGCUAUAAAAGUCCUAGACGGCAUCUUUUUCCAAUACACGGCUGUUUCGUCUACAUUGAAAAUCUGUUGUUUAGUGUAGUCACCUUCAUUAACUAUCUUAGCUGGAUCAUCUGGAUAACUCGCUGCAGCUUCUACAUCAGCACUUGCUGCUUCAGCUUGUAUGUUUAUGUCAUGGAGAUGGUUUCUUUCCUGAAACCUCGUGAACCAACUUCUAGCUUCCAACUUUUCUUCUGCAGCUUCCUCACCACUCUUGGUCUUCAUAGAAUUGAAGAGUUAGGCCCUUCUCUGGAUGAGGCUGUGGCUUAAGAGAAUUUUGUGGCUGGUUUGAUCUAUCCAGACAGCUAAAACUUUCUCCACAUCAGCGAUAAGCCUAUUUCACUUUCUUCUCAUUUGUGUGUUCACUGGAGUAGCACUUUUAAUUUCCUUCAAGAACUUUUCUUUGCAUUCACAACUUGGCUAACUUUUUAGUAUAAGAGGCCUAUCUUUCAGCCUAUCUCAGCUUUUGACAUGCCUUCUUCACUAAGCUUAAUUAUUUCUAGGUUUUUUUUUUUUAAGAUUUUAUUUUUUUUUCCUUUUUCUCCCCAAAGCCCCCUGGUACAUAGUUGUGUAUUUUUUAGUUGUGGGUCCUUCUAGUUGUGGCAUGUGGGAUGCCACCUCAGCAUGGCUUGAUGAGUGGUGCCAUGUCUGCGCCCAGGAUUUGAACUGGUGAAACCCUGGGCUGCCAAAGCAGAGCACACAAACUUCACCACUGGGCCACGGGGCCAGCCCCUAUUUCUAGCUUUUGAUUUAAAGUGAGAGAUGUGCAACUCUCCUUUUCACUUGAACACUUAGAGGCCAUUGUAGGGUUAUUAAAUGGCCUAAUUUUAAUAUUAUUGUGUCUCAGGGAAUAGGAAGGCCCAAGGAGAGGAAGAGAGAUGGGGGAAUGGCCUGUUGGUGGAGCAGUCAGAAUACACACAACAAUUAUCGAUUAAGUUCACCGUCUUAUAUGGCUGUGGUUUGUGGUGCCCCAAAACAAUUACAAUAGUCACAUCAAAGAUCACUGAUCACAGAUCCCAUAGCAAAAUUAAUAAUAAGGAAAAAGUUCGAAUAUUGUGAGAAUUAAUGAAAUGUGACACAGAGAUAUGAAGUGAGCAAAUGCUGUUGGAAAAAUGAGGCCAAUAGAUUUGCUCAAUGCAGGGUUGCCACAAACCUGCAAUUUGUAAAAAAAUGCAAUAUUUGCGAAGCACAAUAAAGCCAAACACAAGAAAAUCCCUGUAAUGUAUGGCAUGACCCUGUUCCUGUCACUAACUAGAUUUUACACUCAGCCUCUAAGUUCUAUUGCUGCUUGUUUCCUCAAGGACUUCUCUCCUGCUGCUGUCCCCAGUCUGUCUUGCAUCAUCACUUUUUCCAUGUCUACUGAAUCUUUGCCAACCAAUGUACAAUUAUGCUGUGCCAUUUACAAGCCCCAAAAAAUAUAUUAAUAAGGAAAAACAACUCUCUAGGCUAAAUGAACCUCUUAAGUUACAAUCUCAUGUCUCCAUUAAACAGUAUAGCAAAAAUCCUUGGGAGAAUUUUUUACUCAUUGUUUCCAAUCCCUAUUUCCCAUUCUCUCCUCAACUCUUUCCAUUGCUACCACUCCAUUGGAAACAUUCUUGUCGUGAUCAACACACUCCAGUGUUGCUGAAUCCAAUGGUUUAUUCUCAGUCUGGAAGAGAAUCAAUCUCAACACAGAAUUUUUAUGCAGCUGACCACUCCCUGCACUUACUCUCUCUCAUACACACACACACUAUAUGUAUACACACAUCAUAGGAUAUAUAUGUAUAUGUGUAUAUAUAUACAUAUGUAUGUAUAUAGUGAUAUGUGUGUAUGAGAGAGAGUGAGUCUCUGCUUAUACCACAUUUACCACAUGCAUGUUGACUAAAACAAGUUAUGAGGCCAGAUUCCAGGGGUUGAAAGGCAAAAUCACACUGCAAAUUCAUAGAUACAGGAAAAGGAAGCAUUUGUGGAGAGGUGAUAAGACCUCAUAAGAGGGAAAUAACUAUGUGAUGUGCCUAGACAAAUGGGGCCUUAGGCCGCCUUUCAGAUAUUUCCAGGGCUUCAACAAGGCACAGAAGUAUCAGAAGAUUCCUUUAUACCCAUGAAUGGCACAAAGUUAAUAGAAAGAGCCGAUUAAUAGAGAGGGGCUUUGUGGAUGGGCACAAAGGAUAAUUUGAAAAUGGCUAGCUGAACUAACAGCAUGAUGAGACCUCAUGACUUGGUAUUCAGCAUCAAUGUAGAGAGAAAAAGCUGUGAAGGGCAGAUAAAUUGAAAUAGAUAGAAUGUUCCUAUACCAUGGCAGAGGAGGGGUUUGAAAUAGAAAUUUAGUUGCAAUACAGAAAAUUAAAGAGUGGUCUGUUUUGUCCAUCUCUCAAUUUGUGGUCUAAGAUUCUUUCUCUAGUUGAAUUUUCUACUGUUAUUUAUCUAAUUUGUUCCCUACAGCCAUGGUCAGCCUAGAGUGUUUGGCCAGGGGAAAGGCUGUUUUUAUAGGACAAGGACCAAAACACUGCAUUUUUUCCUUACCUUUUUCCUUAUUUAGGGGGUUCCUUUACCGAAAUCCCACUGCCCUUUGCAAUACUCAGUUUUAGAGCUCUUGACAUGGCCAGCAACUAAGCCAGUGACUUGAGUCCCUGAUGAAUUACACCUCUGUGAGAACAUGAUGGGGCCAGUAGGCUGGGCCUGGGUUACAGCCUGCUCAGCGAACUGUUUGGAAUUGUAUGAUACCUAUUUUAUCUUUUAAUAAUUUUAUUUAUUUUUGUUUAUUCCCUUGCUCUCUUUUCUUUCUCCUCCAGCGUAUUCUAAAUUUUAGCAUGUUUCUCCUUCUUUCCUUCUCUUUUUUGGUUUCUAUUGCUCUCAUUUUUCUAUGACAGAGGUACCUUUGGCGACAAAAGCUAGAGAGCUCAAACUGAAUACUAUGUCAUAUUACACAGCAAAGACGUGUGAAUAUUAAUAGCAUUCCUUCAAUUGGAGUAUGAAAAUAUAUUUAACAGACCUUUAAGUUGCUUCUAAGUUUUUAUCAUUAUAGGUUGAAUAGUGCCAUAAUGAAUAUCUAUCUAUCUAUCUAUCUGUCUGUCUAUCUUAGUGUAUAUCUCUGAUUAUUUACUGGGUAAGAAAAUAUAGUUAAAAAUCUCAUUUAAUAAAUAUUGCUAAAUUGCUCAUCAAUAGUGAGAAUGUCUUUCUAAUGGGGGUAGGGGUACUCUUUGAUACUGAAAUAUCUUUUAAGAUUUGAGAGAAUAAUAUUGCAAAGUCAAGGCAGGCUGUGAAGAUGCUCGUCUUAAGAGCCCCUAUGGGGUGUGGCCCAGGCACUGACAGGAUAGACCAGAAAUGAAACUCAGGGGCUAACCUUAGAGUUAGAGACAACACUGGAACCACAGGGUAGAAAACAUAUCAGGAAAAAAGAACAUACCCAUAUCCAAAUAAGCAAUUUUAAGAUACAGAAGUUAUGAAAACAAUACCAGAUGAUAAAGAAUUGGGAAAAACAUGCCAGGUAUGAAUGAGAAGAUUCAGAUGAGGGAGAGUGCAGACUGUUUUUCAGUGAUAAAUGCCUCUGGAGCUUCUAGGGCAAGAGAUCUCAAACAUUAGCAUGUCUAAUAUUUGCCUGGACCUGGGGGAUUGGGUGGGGUCACUCAUGGGUUCCACCCCAGAGACUGAUUCAGUUUAGCUGAAUUGGGGUCCAGGUGAUUCUGGUGAAGAUGUCAAUUUACUGGCAUGCAUUUCAAACAUUCUGAUUUUAAAGGCACCUGAAUUGAGGAACCCCUGCAAUCCUUUAAAAAACACGAGUGUUUGGACUCAGAUCCUUUCAAAUACAUGUUUGAGGGCCUUUUAACUGUCACUGAUGGUCUAGGGGUGAAGAGGUGAAUAAGUUACCUUAUGUCUUCUUUCCUAAGGGACUUAUCCCAAUGGGCAGCUGCCUAUCCCCCCCUACUUUAAAAACCUCAUCUGACCGUAGGCAGGUGCUGUGUAUUGAGUCUGAAAGCUCAGUUUUUAUUCAUUAGUUUGUAUCUCUUUCUACCCCCUCUCCCCUCCCUCCCUCCUUUGUACUCUCAACGAGGACAGUCAUUUAAUGACAUUCUGUAGCCCAGCAGAUAAAGCUGGAUUUCUCCGAGCUGAAAGCUGCCUUCCUUCUAUGGGAACAUGUUCUGAUACACUGUACACAGACAAGAAGCAUUAGCAUCUGAUCUGCUUUAUCCUACAGCAGCAGCAGCCCCCGUGCUUUAUGGUGGAAAGCCAGUCUGUGGCGUAUGAUUGGAGAUAUGGAGCUUCUCCUUGCUCAGCUUGGUCCAGGAUCAGUGCAUAAGCUUUGUUUCCAGCGGUGUUGUGUGACAAAUAUCUACCCAAGGCCAGACUGCAUCUCUUUAGUGACGCCUAGCCCCCAUCCUCAAGAUUUCAAUUAGCGCACACCUUUUAACCAUCCUUUAAAAGAAACGCUUGUUGCAACAGAACUAGCAAUAGACUCCUUUACUAGUUCCAAACUUUCUUUGGAAGAACUAAAUUCUAUGUGUAAUAUUAUGCAGAUUUGGUCUUUUCUAGUGUCAUGGUUCUGUGACAGACUAAAAGAAGGAAAAUAGAAAAUAGCUGCUUUUCCUGCUUGCCUGUGAGUUGACUGAAAAGAUUCUUAUGUUGGCUAAUUGCAAGGCAGCCAGAGAAACACAGAGCAGGAUGGAACUGGUUUGAGCUCCCUGUGGUCACUCAGACACAGAGAGGGCUUAGAGACAGUCACGUCUCUGCCAAAUGGAACGGCAGGAUUUCAUCGUCUGAACAGGGCCCUUGGAGGACGAAGUGCACUGUACAGUAGCAGCCUUUCUCAUGGAAAUUGAAGUGCAGAGUCACCUAAAUUUGAGUCUGCAAAAGCACUCUUACAAGUGUCCCCACAUUUGAUCCUCAUGAUUGACACAUGCUAAUUUUUGCCCGUCCUUGGUGUCUUCAGCUCUCCCUCCUGCCAGCACUAUGCCUGCCUCCCUAGCCUAAAUCUGAAUGGAAUCUUUUAGCUAAUUCUCUUUAGAAAAGCCGAGACAUUGAUAUUAGAAAAGAAUUUUAUUAACAACUGAGAAAAGCAUUAAUGGAAAAUACAAACAGAACUGAAACAAAUUUUCAAAGGACAUUUGCUAUUCCUACAAUCAGCAUCUCUCGUGGUCAAAAGAAACCAAGUUGCAGACUUCCAUUUUUUGUCGCCUGUUACAUUAUCAAAUGAGAAAGUUUAUGCAAAGUGAGGUGUUUUUAAUUUCCCGUUUAAUGCAUUGACACUUUAAAUUUUCCAUUUAACAAUAUUUCUACUUAACAAAUUAACACUUUUAUAAAUUUUCAACUGCAAUAUAUAUAACCACUUGCAAACAUAAGACCAAACGUCUAAAUCUGAGGAGAACUUUUGUGACCACAAGGCUCAGGCCAGACCUUCUCACCCUCCACCACUCUGUAUUUGCUGCCAAAAUGGCUGGUACUGAGUCUGUGACAUCAUCUCAGACUCCCUCCUUCUCAGUUUGUCAAAUAUCUCCAUCAGGGGAUUCAGCAUCUUAUUUCACACCAGAGUAGGGGAGUUUCCCCUCAUCAGAACCCAGUCAAUGUUCCCAAGCAGAUUCAAAUCGUCCAGGGCCCUCACACUCUGUCUUCCAGGCUGAGAUUACACAGAAUGACCUCUCUUUAGGUAAGACUCACUUUAUCCAACCACGCUCCUCCCUGUACACGAAGAGGCCAGUAGCAGAGCCAUAGCACUAGGAAAGCUUCACCAUUUAAAUACUGGAGCCAUGUGUAAGAACUACCUGCAUACCCAGCAGAGGAAGGCAGUCCCUCACUAGUAAUAUUUACCUGCAGUUUUCCCCUGCAUACGUGCAUCAAGACUCCUACUAACGGGUAAAUUGCCUGUGCAUUAGUCUAGGUCCUAGGUGGGCUGACAGCCAGCCUUCUAAUUUGCUACUUGCAGAAUGCACCAUAUCACAACCCUGGUCCAGAAGCUCCCUCUUUAGGUUCUUGCAUACUUCCUCUGGGUCAUCAACAUAGCAGCAUACUAACCAAUAGGAUUUCUUCAUAAAAUAGCUACCUUGUCCUAACAUCUAUAGUAUUUAACACACCCUACUAGGAGAUGUGGGAACACAAAUAAAAAUACAGCAUAAUCUGGGUCCUAAAGGGUAUAAGUUCUAGUAGGAUUUUAGUUGAAUGUCAUAUAAGGUUGUAAUUAAAAAUCCAGGGGCCAGCCCUGAUGGCCUCAUGGUUAAAGUUCAGUGUGUUCCACUUUGGCAACCUUGGUUUGGUUCUGGGGUGUGGAACCACACCACUUGUCUGUCAGUAACUAUGCUGUAGUGGUGGCUAACAGAGAAGAAUUAGAAAGACUUACCACUAGAAUAUACAACUAUGUAUCAGGGCUUUGAGGAGGAAAAAACAAAUCCAGGUAUCACAGAAAUCUUGACUUUGCCCCUUGUUAGCUAAUGGAACUUGGACAAGUUUCUUAACACAUUUAAGCCCUCUUGAUUUUUGUUAUUAUAAAAGGGGUGAUAAUAGUGUCCAUUCCAUAAAACCACUUUGGUGCGAUAACUGC
rnacentral:lncRNA from 1 species